UACGUAGGGGGCAAGCGUUGUCCGGAAUCAUUGGGCGUAAAGAGCGUGUAGGCGGCCCGGUAAGUCCGCUGUAAAAGUCAAAGGCUCAACCUUUGAAUGUCAGUGGAUACUGUCGGGCUAGAGUCCGGAAGAGGCGAGUGGAACUCCUGGUGUAGCGGUGGAAUGCGCAGAUAUCAGGAAGAACACCAACGGCGAAGGCAGCUCGCUAGGACGGUACUGACGCUGAGACGCGAAAAGCGUGGGGAGCGAACAGG
rnacentral:rRNA from 1 species